rnacentral:lncRNA from 1 species
CCAGGAGGCAGGAGCUAGCUGAAUUUUGCUCUCCACCCCCUCACCCAACCCCUUGUUGCAGAGAAGGAACGUUGCAUUGCUAGGGACUGAAUGUUGGGAUUAACCUGAAACUCAGAAGAGCAGCAGGGUUUGUAGGAGAAGCCAAAAAGGAAGAGUGACUCAGCAAAAUAAACCGUCACUGUGGAUAUUCUGAACUGCUAUUUUGGGACCCUGGGUGACUGCCUGGCUAUGGUGACAGGCGCUUGGUAUAUAAAACCUUUUUUCCCACAGGCCCGCCGUAAUUAUUUAUGCUCCUCAGCUUACGGAAGGAGCUGCCGUGGCGGUCCCCGAUAGCUGCGUCGUCCACUGUUAGACUCCUAAAUGAAUUCUUGGCAAAGGGAGCAGUGUGCCCUGAAGGGCCAUCAAGAACCAGAGGGGAUGCUCAAGUCUUAGGGACCCCUCUGCCUUCCAGGAGCACUUCCCUUCUGGUCAAGAAGGGGUACGAGACCAGUACCGACCAGCGUUAUCAAUCCUGGUUCCUGCUUAGGCCUCCGCCACGGACCCUCAUCUAGGUGAUACCUCAGGGUUUAGGUGGUUGGGGGGCAUGAAAGCUCGUCUUGCCCACCACCUUCUCUAGGACAGUCUCUGAAUUCUAGUGACUGAGAGCCUGUCAUUUUGUAAGCAAUCCAUUGCUAAGCCAUCCAUAUUGUUUAAAACGUCUUCCUUAAAUUCAACUGUAAUUGUUGCCUUGAAACAUGUUUCUAUUCACAGGCUGUUCUGAGCCAUGGAGCCACAGAGAUCAAGUCCGGUCCAGUGUUUGGGGGCAGUCCUUGGGCUGUGUGAGGAGUUAGGAUACCUUGCCCGCUUGACUUUUCAAGUUCAGGACUUUACUAGGGGAUUUGAAGGCAGGGUAUUCUCCUCAGCUACUUCUCUUAUGCCUCUCCUGCUUGAUGGAUGGAACCAUCAGAUCCCCACACUGUGCAGGCAAAGCCAGCCCCCAGUUUUAACGGCCACCAAACACGACACCUCUGAAGAUUCUGACUGGCGGACUGUUACCCAUUAACCCAGGUCCUUUCAAUGUGAUCGGGUAAGAAAGCUCUUCAGUUUCUUUUUGCAAUGUUACCAGCUUGUUUGUAGUGGCAUGGUGCCAUCACUGAACUCAGUGACUUUAAUAAGCAUGUUAAAUGGUUCACCGUACUGCCUGCAAUCAAAAUCCACAUUCCAAAGCAAGGCUUCCUUUGUUUACCACAUAAUAGCCAGAAAAUUAUUGAGUUUUGGUGUCUAAUUUUACGUAAAUCAAGUUAGGAGGCUUUGUAAACACAGGCUUUGACCUUUGUCAACUAACUUAAUACCCAGCUGAAUCCUUUAUAAGGGCCUGUUUUGGGGACCUUUGUUUUUAAUCAUCAGGUUUCUAAGUUGUUCUCACCUUUCAAUUAGGAGGAUGGUGGCCGCCACCCAAAAGGCUUCUUUUACAGUUUCCUAGUUCCCCUGUUCCCCACAAGGUGCUUUUCACACUCUUUGGAGGGCUGUGACGUUGCAUUGCUGUACCUUUAGUACAAAUAUCAGAUAAUUUGUGCUGUGUGCUUUGCUAAGUCGCUUGGGUCAUGUCCAACUCGGUGAGCCUCUAUGGACUGUAGCUCCCCCAGACUCCUCUGUCCAUGGGACUCUCCAGGCAAGAAUACUGGAGUGGGUUGCCAUGCCCUUCUCCAGGGGAUCCUCCCAACCCAGGGAUCGAACCCGUGUCCCUUACAUCUCCUGUAUUGGCAGGUGGGUUCUUUGCCACUCACGCCACCUGGGAAGCCCGUCAGAUAGUCUGGUGGGACGUUGUGUAAUUAAAUUCAAGAAAAUGAGGUAAAUAAACGACCUUUUUCCAUUUUAAAAACUUGUUUU